GCUCAGUUGGUGAAACAUGUGACUCUUGAUCUCAGGGUUGUGAGUUCAAGGCCCACAUUGAGCA
rfam:Ailuropoda melanoleuca scaffold125_36, whole genome shotgun sequence.